rnacentral:tRNA from 1 species
UCAGGUAUAGCUCAGUGGUAGAGCACUUGCCUAGCAUGCACAAGGCCCUGGGUUCAAUUCCCAGCACUGCAA